rnacentral:snRNA from 1 species
GGAUGUGAGGGUGAUAUGUUUGCAACAUAUGUCACCCCAUUGAUCACCAGGGUUGAUUUCAGCUGAUCUGGCUAGCGAGGUGGGUGUCCCUUUCCUCCCUCACCACUCCAUGUGUGUCCCUCCCAAAGCAGCACACUAAAUUGAAAAGGACAACCUUCUCUGAAUAGAGGAGGAUUGGUCUUCUGUAAAGAAUGUAAGUGUAGCUGCACUCUCCUGCUAGAAUCUCCAAACAAGCUCACGAAUCAGGUAUAUAUAUAUACCUGAUUUUAUAUAUAUAUAAAAAAAUCUUAAUAGAGAAUUAAAAUUU